rnacentral:rRNA from 1 species
GGGUGGGGGGACCAACCGUGGGAAAUUACGGUUAAUACCGCAUGAUCCCUGAGGGGCAAAAGGCGAAAAGCCCCCUAAGGAGGAAGCCUGCUUCUGAUUAGGUAGUUGGUGGGGUAAAGGGCCUACCAAGCCUGCGAUCAGUAGCUGGUCUGAGAGGAUGAUCAGCCACACUGGGACUGAGACACCGGCCCAGACUCCUACGGGAGGCAGCAGUGGGGAAUAUUGGACAAUGGGCGAAAGCCUGAUCCAGCAAUGCCGCGUGGAUGAAGAAGGUCUUCGGAUUGUAAAGUCCUUUUGGCGGGGACGAUGAUGACGGUACCCGCAGAAUAAGCUCCGGCUAACUUCGUGCCAGCAGCCGCGGUAAUACGAAGGGGGCUAGCGUUGCUCGGAAUGACUGGGCGUAAAGGGCGCGUAGGCAGACGGCACAGUCAGGCGUGAAAUUCCUGGGCUCAACCUGGGGACUGCGUCUGAGACGUGUUGUCUUGAGUAUGGAAGAGGGUUGUGGAAUUUCCAGUGUAGAGGUGAAAUUCGUAGAUAUUGGAAAGAACACCGGUGGCGAAGGCGGCAACCUGGUCCAUUACUGACGCUGAGGCGCGAAAGCGUGGGGAGCAGACAAAAUUAGAUACCCUGGUAGUCCACGCUGUAAACGAUGUUUUCUGGAUGUUGGGGUGCUUAGCACUUCAGUGUCGUAGCUAACGCGGUAAGCACACCGCCUGGGGAGUACGGCCGCAGGUUGAACUCAAAGAAUUGACGGGGGCCCGCACAAGCGGUGGAGCAUCUGGUUUAAUUUGAAGCAACGCGCAGAACCUUACCAGGAUUUGACAUGGGGAGUACCGGUCCAGAGAUGGACUUUCCCGCAAGGGGCUCCCGCACAGGUGCUGCAUGGCUGUCGUCAGCUCGUGUCGUGAGAUGUUGGGUUAAGUCCCGCAACGAGCGCAACCCUCGCCUUCAGUUGCCAGCAUGUUUGGGUGGGCACUCUGAAGGAACUGCCGGUGACAAGCCGGAGGAAGGUGGGGAUGACGUCAAGUCCUCAUGGCCCUUAUGUCCUGGGCUACACACGUGCUACAAUGGCGGUGACAGUGGGAAGCCAGGUGGUGACACCGAGCUGAUCUCAAAAAGCCGUCUCAGUUCGGAUUGCACUCUGCAACUCGAGUGCAUGAAGGUGGAAUCGCUAGUAAUCGCGGAUCAGCAUGCCGCGGUGAAUACGUUCCCGGGCCUUGUACACACCGCCCGUCACACCAUGGGAU